rnacentral:rRNA from 1 species
UACGUAGGGUGCAGGCGUUAACCGGAAUCACUGGGCGUAAAGCGUGCGCAGGCGGCUUUGCAAGACAGAUGUGAAAUCCCCGGGCUUAACCUGGGAACUGCAUUUGUGACUGCAUGGCUGGAGUGCGGCAGAGGGGGAUGGAAUUCCGCGUGUAGCAGUGAAAUGCGUAGAUAUGCGGAGGAACACCGAUGGCGAAGGCAAUCCCCUGGGCCUGCACUGACGCUCAUGCACGAAAGCGUGGGGAGCAAACAGG